GGAGGUGGAGCUCAGAUGGUAGAGCGCUCGCUUAUCAUGCGAAAGGUACGGGGAUGGAUACUCCGUGCCUCCG